rnacentral:rRNA from 1 species
CCGCAGCAGGCGAGAAUCUUUAGCAAUGCCCGAAAGGGUGACUAUGCGACGCCGCGUGAGCGAUGAAGUCCUUCGGGACGUAAAGCUCUGUCAGGUGGGAUGAAUUUUUCGACCUUAACAGGGUUGGAAUUUGACCGUACCACCAGAGGGAAGCCACGGCUAACUCCGUGCCAGCAGCCGCGGUAAUACGGAGGUGGCAAGCGUUGUUCGGAUUUAUUGGGUGUAAAGGGCAUGUAGGUGUCCUAGUAAGUCCUGGCUGAAAUCCUUCGGCUCAACCGAAGAACGUGUCAGGAAACUGCUGGGAUUGAGUACGGAAGAGGAGAACGGAAUUCCCGGUGUAAGGGUGAAAUCUGUAGAUAUCGGGAGGAACACC